rnacentral:rRNA from 1 species
CUGUUAAAUGUAACAAUUUAAUGGAAAGUUAACUUUUUAAAGUAUCCAUUUAAGAAUUUUGUUCAAAAAAACUUCUUAGAGGGACUAUCAAUGUUUAAUUGAUGGAAGUUUGAGGCAAUAACAGGUCUGUGAUGCCCUUAGAUGUUCUGGGCCGCACGCGUGCUACACUGACUAGUUCAAAAAGUUUGUCAUUGAAAAGAAUUUCAAGCAAUUGAAAUUCUUUCAAUUUCCUUGGCCGGAAGGUCUGGGUAAUCUUAUGAAAUCUAGUCGUGCUGGGGAUAGAUCUUUGCAAUUGUAGGUCUUUUAACGAGGAAUUCCUAGUAUGGUCGUGUCAUCAGCGCGACCCGACUGCGUCCCUGCCCUUUGUACACACCGCCCGUCGCUCCUACCGAUCGAAUGGUCCGGUGAGAAUUUGGGAUUUUCUUGUUUCUCGUAAUUGGGAAACUAGAGGAGAACUUGUUCAAAUCUUAUCAUUUAGAGGAAG